rnacentral:rRNA from 1 species
UGGCGCACGGGUGAGUAACGCGUAGGCAACCUACCCUUGUGUUUGGGAUAACAGUGCGAAAGCGCUGCUAAUACCGGAUACGAUUUUCUGACGGGAGUCGGGGGAUGAAAGUCAGCCUCUCGAAGAAGCUGACGCACGAGGAUGGGCCUGCGUCCUAUCAGCUAGUUGGUAGGGUAACGGCCUACCAAGGCGACGACGGGUAGCUGGUCUGAGAGGAUGAUCAGCCACACUGGCACUGGAACACGGGCCAGACUCCUACGGGAGGCAGCAGUGAGGAAUUUUGCGCAAUGGCCGCAAGGCUGACGCAGCAACGCCGCGUGGGUGAUGAAGGCCUUCGGGUCGUAAAGCCCUGUCAGGUGGGAAGAAAGGCUUGGGGGUGAAUAGUCUUCGAGUUUGACGGUACCACCAGAGGAAGCACCGGCUAACUCCGUGCCAGCAGCCGCGGUAAUACGGAGGGUGCUAGCGUUAUUCGGAAUUACUGGGCGUAAAGCGCGUGCAGGCGGGAAGACAAGUCUGAUGUGAAAGCCCGGGGCUUAACCUCGGAAGUGCAUUGGAAACUGUUUUUCUUGAGUACUGGAGUGGAAGGGGGAAUUCCCGGUGUAGAGGUGAAAUUCGUAGAGAUCGGGAGGAAUACCAGUGGCGAAGGCGCCCUUCUGGACGGUUACUGACGCUGAGACGCGAAAGCGUGGGGAGCAAACAGGAUUAGAUACCCUGGUAGUCCACGCUGUAAACGAUGAGCACUAGGUGUAGCGGGUACUCAUUCCUGCUGUGCCGCAGCUAACGCGUUAAGUGCUCCGCCUGGGGACUACGGUCGCAAGACUAAAACUCAAGGAAUUGACGGGGGCCCGCACAGCGGUGGAGUAUGUGGUUUAAUUCG